AGAAAUGUUUCAUGCCUUCUAUACAAGCUGAACAUGUAUACACCAUUACUGAUAUGACAAGCGAGUUUACUUGAGAUUGCCAUCUUCGGCUCUUUGUCGUCUUCUCCCUAUUGUAUUUCUUUGAGAGGGAUCUUCAUUUUUUGCCUUUUUACCAUGGUUGUUAAUGUGGGAAUUGUUCCUUAUUUGCCAAUUGGCCUGAGAGAGUUGUGUAUGCUGUGAAGAGCUGUAAAGUAAUGAAUUGGAAGUCUUUCUUCAUGGUUUCUUCCCUUGGAAUGACUGUGAACAUGCUGGUAAAGAAUGACUCUUGUUUAAUGUACUUUUUAAAGCGUCUGAAAGGUCGAGGCGAGUCCAAACAUCAAAUUGUUCGAACUUUGUUUUGAUUUCAUUUAAGCUGUCCCUUUAAGAUUUUGGAUCAUACAGGUUUGUGCUUGGCUUGAUGAUAUGAGUUGGGCGUAAAGAAAGAAGUGGGGGUUCACAUGUCAACCCCAACUUUGUUUGCUGUUGUUGUAUACAGAUUUGUGUUUCCUUGGUAAGACUAACCUAAUUAUGCGACUUCCCUGAACAUUUGAAUCUUUGACCGGUUAAAAAGUACCUGAGCAUUAAUUAUAGCAUGAUCCGUUGCAAUUGUAUGAUCAAACAUUGGGUGCAUAGUGUGACCGACAGUAACAACUUGUAUCAAUUUACACCAAAUGAAACCUUAAUUCGCGAAAUUGUUCACUAGUGAUUAGAGAUUGCAUAAUAAAACACUUUCCUUUUCAUUCGUGAUGGUUGGCUUUCACUUCUCUUUUCGUUGAUGGCCGGUUGAAACUUUAAAAAGCGAGAAUGUUGAAAGGUUAUAUUAAAAAAUUCCGUUACCGGGAAUCGAACCCGGGUCUCCUGGGUGAAAGCCAGAUAUCCUAACCGCUGGACGAUAACGGAUUUGUUAUGCUGAGGCGUACUUACAAAACUAUAAAUAUGACUUUUCAACAAAAUUAUGGAUUUUAAUUUAAAUUUGUCUCUUCAACAAAAUUAUGGAUUUUAAUUUAAAUUUGUCUCUUCAACAAUAUUAUGGAUUUUAACUUACUGAUAUGACACAGAUAUUUUGUAGGCUUAUUCAUACAGUAAUAAUUAAACAGUGAUAAAUUGUUAAUAACACAUUCCCUCGUAAUUUCUAAUGCGAGAGCUUAAAUAUUUAUUAUCCUAAAUUCUUCCACUUCCAUUAUUUCUUUGCUUUAUGACUUUAAUUGAUUGGAGAAAAUAGGUUGAAUAUAUGAAAUUCAUACAUUACUUGUUUAUCAGUAAACUAUCUUCUUUUCUUUUCUCUUGGAAUAUAGAUAGAUAAAAUAACCUUUUUACAUUAUGUUCAUUCACAAAAUUAUUGUAGUCAUUUUCUUUCAAUAUUUAUUAAUGUGUUUUUCAUAUUUUGAUCUAUAUGAUGAAUCACCAUAGCGCACAACUAAUACAGUAAACUAUAUAAAAAAUACAAGCGUUCAACAAAAUUAAUAAGUGGUUCAGCACAACACAUUCUUGUAAGUUUGUACUGUGAGGUUACAAUAUUUAACAUGAGUCCAAUAUGACAUGAGACAAGCACCAUGAUAUUAUUCACUAUUAAAAUUUUAAAAAAUUAAUGACAUAUUAUAUUUUAAAAAAUAUUCAUAAAGGGCAACCAUUAGUAAGAAAAAAUAUUGAAUGAUGCACUUGAAGAAGAGCACAUACUUUAAAAGAAAAAAAAUUCCAAACUUCUUAAAAAUUUAAGCUAGUAAUUAACAAAGAUUUGACGAGGAUGUCACACACCGUAUUGUAGCGGGAUGGAUGAAAUAGAGGUUAGCAUCCAACGUCUUGUAUAAUAAAAAUGUGCCACCGAAACUUAUAGGUAAAUUUAUAGAGUAGUGGUUAGCCGGCCAUGUUGUAUGGGCAGAGUGUUGGCCAGUAAAGAAUUUCCAUAUCUAGAAGAUGAAAUUAGCAAAAAAAAAA
rnacentral:lncRNA from 1 species